rnacentral:lncRNA from 1 species
ACAAUAGGCCGUUCCAAGAUGCUGUCAAAAUUAAAUCAAUAUGGCUACUGGAAGGCAAACAUUGAAUAUUAUUCUAUCAGGUUCUUAUGGUUUUAGAUCAUUUUAGUUGUUGUACAAAGAUUAAUUUAACAUUUUCUCUGGAAGUAUUAAUUUAGAAAGAUAAUAUGCCUCAUUGGUGUUGUGUUUUGAAGUGUGAAAUGCAAAGUAAUCGUGAUAAAGUUAGCUUUUACCACUUACCAUCAGUGCUACAUUCUAAGCACAAAACUGAACCAAUUUAACUAAAUAAGUUAUAGUUAUCAUCUGAGAGACAACAACAAUGGUAAAAUGCAAUAAAAUAUAAAGAUUUUACUAGCAAAAUGGAAAUUCCCCUGUAAUCAUCUUAUAUCUGGAAAACCAGCCGACUUAACUGAUAAUAACAAUCCAGAUUGGGUUCCUUCAAUAAAUAUGGGGUAUAUAAACACAAUGAAAUGAGUUCCCCAAAAUCUAAAAUGGGAAUUAAGGUACCAAAGGAGAAUUAAAAGAAAAGGGUACCUACAAGAAAAAA